rnacentral:rRNA from 1 species
UACGUAGGGGGCUAGCGUUGUUCGGAAUCAUUGGGCGUAAAGCGCGUGUAGGCGGUCCGGUAAGUCCGCUGUGAAAGUCGGGGGCUCAACCCUCGGAUGCCGGUGGAUACUGUCGGGCUUGAGUACGGAAGAGGCGAGUGGAAUUCCUGGUGUAGCGGUGAAAUGCGCAGAUAUCAGGAGGAACACCAAUUGCGAAGGCAGCUCGCUGGGACGUUACUGACGCUGAGACGCGAAAGCGUGGGGAGCAAACAGG